UCCGAUGGCCUAAGCCAUACCCUAUGGU
rnacentral:piRNA from 1 species